UCAAUGUGCAUCUUUACCCAAUGAUUGUUCUGGUGUAUUUAAAAACCAUGCAUAUCCUGCCAUGAAUAGGCCAUGUUUGGGAGGUGCAAUGACCAGCAACGGACACACGAAGUGGGUUGGACAGAACACACAAACAAAUGGCCAAAUUGGAUUUUGAAGCAUCAUGAACAAGUAGCAAACUCCAGGAUCAAGAUUGACUUUUAAAAUAGGAUUAGGAUUUAUGGGGUUGAGUUGACUUUGGUCAGAGUUGACCAAAAAGUCAACGGUUGACCAAAGUCAACAAUUGGUCAACACACUCAUUCUUUGUAUUUUUUUCUGUAAUGAUCAUGUAAUGAAUGAAAUUUCUCACUUGAAU